CUGAAUAUUCCCUUGUUACUCACUUUCUUUUUGUUUAAAUUUCUUAGGUAUUUGUGUUUAAAGAACUCCCAGUCCCUUUGUUAAGGGCAAAAGCUUAUAUUUUCUUAGCCUAAUGAAAGACAAGCACAAGAAAGAAGUGAAAGGGGAUGUGGAUGAAAGGGGGAUCAGAAAAUAUGCCUAGAUUUGUUAUGAUGUGAUGGUGAGACCAGUCUCCUCUUCAAACUACUACAUAUAUCAACAGUUGACAUUACCCUGGGCAUGUUGAUUUUAUAUACAUUGACUUAACCUACCUACCAGGCAUUCCAUUCCAUGGGAGACAUACUAAGUGUCUAGUAUGUCCCACGUUGUGAUAGGCAAUGUGAGAGUUACAGACAACCAAAAGGUGAGUGCCUUCCCUUCAAAGAGGUUGCCAUCUAGUUAGAAGUAUUGAUAUCUUAAUUUAAAAAUGAGGCUUUCAUUUGUCAUAUAUGUACUUAACAGGCCAUGGUAUGAUCAAGCAAACAAACACUUAUGUUGCCAUUAGCAAAAAAGGCCCCUGUUAUCUUUUGUUAACCAAAAAAUUGCAGUGAAUUUUCCAUAUGUGCUUCUUUCAAUUUCUCUUGGUAUGAAGUUCCAGUACACAUACAAAACCUCUUUGAAGAAAAAAAAAAGAAAUAAAAC
rnacentral:lncRNA from 10 species